GUGAAUCAUCGAAUUUUUGAACGCAAAUUGCACUCUCUUCGGAGAGUAUGCCUGUUUGAGGGUCAGCCUAAAAAAAAUCGACAUAGUCGCUGUUUCGCGGUGACAUUCGUCGGAAAUUGGGUCAUCUUAAACCUUUGGGUUUUAAGCGGCUUAAAAUUUUCUUUUUGAUUCCAUGAACGUGUUUCUAAGAUUCAUUUCUUUACACGUUUAAGGUAUCGUUUUUUAUUAGCCUUAACCAUCAUUUCGGUUC
rnacentral:misc_RNA from 1 species